rnacentral:rRNA from 1 species
AGAGAGAGACAUGCGCGCAUAUCAAUAAGCGGAGGAAAAGAAACUAACAAGGAUUCCCUUAGUAACGGCGAGUGAAGCGGGAAGAGCUCAAAUUUGAAAUCUUCAAGGUUCUACCUUGACGAAUUGUAGUUUAUAGAAGUGUUUUCUGUUAGUGGAGUGGCAAAAGUUCUUUGGAAUAGGACAUCAUAGAGGGUGAGAAUCCCGUAUUUGGUCAUUCCUCCUAGCGUUGUGAUACACUUUCAACGAGUCGGAUUGUUUGGGAAUGCAGUCCAAGAUGGGUGGUAAAUUUCAUCUAAAGCUAAAUAUUGGCGAGAGACCGAUAGCGAACAAGUACCGUGAGGGAAGAUGAAAAGAACUUUGAAAAGAGAGUUAAACAGUACGUGAAAUUGUCAAAAGGGAAGCGUUUGACACCAGUGUUGUUUUUCGAAAAUCAAUUACGAAUGUUUUGUUUUUGAGGAGUUAUGACUUCAUCGGCUUGCUCCUUUCUUUAUGAAACUUUCUUAAUGCACUUUUCGGUUAACAAGUCAACAUCAAUUUCUUUUGUUGUAAAAGGGUAUGAGGAAGGUGGCUUUCUUUUCGGAGAAAGUGUUUAUAGCCUUGUGCCUCUGCAAUCGGAGAGAUUGAGGUCUGCAGCGUAGAUCCUUCGGGGUUAGAUACAUUUGUGCUAAGUUAUAGCUUUUCAUAGACAACUCGUUGACUAUGUUUAGUCUCGUAGCUUACUCGCUUACUGCUAUUUUACCUACGCUUAGGAUGUUGAUAGUCACAGCGUGUAC